GACGAACGCUGGCGGCGUGCUUAACACAUGCAAGUCGAACGGAAAGGCCCUGCUUUUGUGGGGUGCUCGAUUGGCGAACGGGUGAGUAACACGUGAGUAACCUGCCCUUGACUUUGGGAUAACUUCAGGAAACUGGGGCUAAUAUCGGAUAGGAGCUCCUGCUGCAUGGUGGGGGUUGGAAAGUUUCGGCGGUUGGGGCUGGACUAGCGGCUUAUCAGCUUGUUGGUGGGGUAGUGGCUUACGAAGGCUUUGACGGAUAGCCGGCCUGUGAGGGUGACCGGGGACAAGGGGACUGAGGGAGGGCCCAGACGGCAACGUGAGGCAAUGGGGGAAAGUAUUGCACAGUGACCGCGAGUGAGAGACGGCGGCGUCCGGUUCGUAAUGCCGUGUUUCGGGUUAAGAACCGCUGUCGCCGGAGACGAGGCGGUAGUGACGGUAAUGAGUAAAGAAGCACCGGCUAACUACGUG
rnacentral:rRNA from 1 species